CGCACUGCUUGUUACAAGUUGUCAACAGUUUUGGAACAAUUUGUUGACAACUUGUAACCACCUUGCCGAAAUUGUCAGAUUUGUUACAAGGUUGUUCUGACAAGUCCGUUACAUGCUUGAUGCGACAAAUUGUUACAACCUUGUGUUGACAACCUUGUAACAUGCUUGUUUUUAUAUCACGGCUGUAAAAACUUAUAACAAGUCUGAUAAUGCUAUCAAGCUUGUUACAAGUUCUUAACAGCUUGUUACAAAUUUGUUGCAACAACUGGGAACAAGCAGUGCG